rnacentral:tRNA from 1 species
AGUUAUGUAGUCUAUUUAGGAUAUUAAAUUGCAAAUUUAAAGGAAAAUUACUUUCAUAGCUU